AAGUCGUAACAAGGUUUCCGUAGGUGAACCUGCGGAAGGAUCAUUAUUGAAUACUCUUGAUGAGUUGUAGCUGGCUCUCCGGGGCAUGUGCACGCUUGUCUUGAUUUUAUUCAUCCACCUGUGCACCUUUUGUAGUCUUGGGGGUUGAAAGCAGUCGACUAUCGGAUGGCUAUGGCUUUUCCGGAUGUGAGAAAUGCUGAGUGCAUAGACGCAUACAGCUCUUCUCAAAUGACUUGCAUACCCUUGAGUACUAUGUAUUCAUAUACCACGUCGUUUGUUGUAGAAUGUGAUCAAUGGGUCUAUGUACCUAUAAUAAUCAUAUACAACUUUCAGCAACGGAUCUCUUGGCUCUC
rnacentral:misc_RNA from 1 species